rnacentral:lncRNA from 1 species
CACAGAGGGGGGAGGGGGGAUAGAGGUGCAGAGAGAGAGAGGUACAGAAAGAGAGAGAGAGGCACAACGUUGUGCUGGAACACAAGAGAAAGUCGACAAUCAACAGUCAACUUCGAAUCAGCAAAGCAUGUGAGAAUAUCAGAACAUUUCCCACAUCAGAGGCAGAUCACCAUGACUGAAGUGGUAGCAGGGAAGACGUGGCAACCGCUGAAAUAACAAUAAAACCUCAUAUCAUAUCCUUACUGUACAACUCUUACAGAUUAGUCAGAACAAGAAUACCUCCUCAAACUAAAAAUCUGAAGUAAUCAGUCACCAAUUUCACAGGCGCUGCACAUGAGCUAAUCAAAUCACUCAAUCUUAUUUAUCCAUCAUCUUUGAUGUAUCUACACUUCAUCCACCCUCCCACCCUUUUGGCAGGAGGAGGGGGAGUCUGGAAACUGGACAUCCUGUCUUUAGUGGAGUCUGUCUUGACCGUGUAAGAUACACUGAGUUUCUAUUACCUUGUGGAUUUCUGAAGAAAUUGUUGCUGAAGGAAUUCAAUUCCGAGAAACAGCACAACACCACACACCCAUCACACCACAGGAGAUGGUGGCACCUUAAUCGGGGAGAAAGGGGUCGUGGUAAUGACUGGAGCAGGUUCAGGGGAAUGGUAUGAAAUACAUCAAACACAUGGUUUCCAGGUGUUUAAUGCCAUUCCAUUUGCUCCAUUCCGCACAUUAUUAUUAGCAGUCACGAAUGUUUGAUCUUGAACAGAACAUGACACGCAGAAAUCGUAAUGUUCAACCUGCGAGGACAGAUACAGAAACCGGGAAAAUUCCGAGCAACACAGCUCAAACAAAUGGAUUGGAGAGUUAUAUUUGUCUGCGCAGUAGCAUGGCAUGUUUCACUGGUGUCACAAUCUUAUGCCACAGGUGGUGUGAAUACAUCUCUCUCUACAGCUCAGAGCAACUUGUCUCUGUGUUUCACCUGCAACGGUGAGAGAUGUCAAGAUGUGAAAAAGAUUUUCAACUCAAUGAGAGAUGACAAAAUUUGGACGCAAAGUACUGCAACGUCUGCCCUUCUUGGCUGUUCCCUGACCUCGUCUCCCUUUGCUGGGAAGUGUGUGCCAUGUGUUGAGGACCGCAAGGUCUACAUUGUUUGCCUUGACAUGCCCAAGGAUCUCAAACUGGACCUGGAGGAUGGUGAUGGCAACUCAUUUUCCUACACUGAAGCUAGUGGAGUCAGAGGUCUUGCUGGGCAUGGUGGUGAGUAAAGAAAACCCACAGCAAUGCUCAGCUCGUGUGCACCGAGAAUAAAGAUACAAUCUCUGAAUACUUGGAUGUGGUUGUGUGUGCGAGAGAGACUUUGUUGUUUGUAGAGGACAUUCUACAAAUCAUAUCUGAAGAUCAGCAAUGGGUAGAAGUGUAUAUCAGUGUUAGAUGAUUCAUUUUCUUUGUGCUUAACUGCUCUCCUUGUCCUCUUCUCCCACUUCAAUCUCUGAUGGCACUGGGGGCUUAUACAAAGGAGCAAUGAUCAGCAUUGGCAUGUUAGCAGCUGCCGUCAUCUUUGUCGCUUACUACAGAAGCCAGACCAAAUCAAGUAUUGUCUAGUGUCAACUUCAGAAGUCCACUCAGAGGAACACCAGACCCAUUUAAAGUUAUUAAAGACUGUCACGUCUACUGCUCCCCCUCUCCGGCGCACAGAGGGAGGGGGGCAGAACAUGAGACAGAGCUGCAUUUCAUGACAAAAUGUGAAAAAUAUAAAACAAUUAGAGAGUGUAAUUUCCCCAUUUUGAAACCCUUAUUCAAGGUUUCAAAGACCUCUCUGGUGAGAGUAGGCUACCCUUCCUGUUGGGGGAAGACGCAGAGAGCUGGGGGUUGGCAGCGCACUACAUUGCUGCCUGCCAUAAGAUGAGGGACAGUGUCUGACAGACCAAUCAACCUGCACAUAAGCUUUGGCAAUAUGUACAUUGUUACGUUAUGCCAAUAAAGUGAAUUGAAUUGACACACCCACACACACACACACACACACACACACACACACACACACACACACACACACACACACACACACACACACACACACACACACACACACACACACACAGAGAGAGAGAGGGGGAGGGAGAGAGAGCACAGGGGGGGGGGGGAGAGAGGCACAGUUAGGGAGAGAGGCACAGAGGGGGGAGAGAGAGAGCACAGAGGGGGAGGGGAGAGAGAGGGACAGAGGGGGGAUAGAGGUGCAGAGAGAGAGGUACAGAAAGAGAUAAUGCUGAACCUGAGUGGCUUCUGCCUUAGAACAGGACAGGUGAGGCUGUGUUGGUUAAGGAAUGUAUCUGUUAUUUAGCAGGUCACUGGGGACACAGAGAGGGAAUGCAAAGACAGGGAGAACAGCAAGUCGUACCUACUUACUAGAGCAAAGGCCAUUUGGAAGCAUGGUUUGAUCAGGAGGCUCACUUGAAGACAGUGGAUUACAAUAUCCUACUGGUCCUCAGCCACCUCCUUUAUAACAUCCAAAAUGUCAUCUUUAGAUUGAUUUGAUUAGGCACAAUACAAGCCGGGAUUUCUGGCUGCUCUAUUAGCAGGGCUAUUUCUCCAUGUUGUGGAUGUCUAUUCAUAUGUUUGUAUGUAUGCUGUCACUGUUUUAUUAUUAUUUGGAAAACCCCUACCCUGCCCCCCUUCCUCCUGAGAAGUGAUCAGCAGUCAUACCACUCUGAGCCCACCCACCACCUGAUCAUCCUGUCCUCUACCGUUACACCCCGCUGGAAACAGGAAACUACUGUGGAAAUGUGUAUAUUUGCAGAGCAAGUCGAUCAUAUCAGAUUGUUUAAUUAAAUAGAAUGUUCUGGAUCCCCCUCUCUGACACCAGCCUGAAACAUGUGACCUCACAGUAUACCUACAGUCUGAGCCAAAUGCUUAAGAACUAUUAGAGAAGAAUAAACACACUUCACAAUCACCACUAUAAUCUAAAACAUUAGGCUACAGAAAUGUGCCUGUUAUUCAGCUGACUGCUCUUCCCCUUUUCGACUGAGUCAGUCUAGCUUGGACAAAACAUUUCUCAGAAACAGAUAGUAUAUGUGGUUUCCAUGGACACAGAGAUGUUACAGCUCGUUGAAAAAAGGAAACGUCACUAAACUGUUUAG